GUAGGGAAUAUUGCACAAUGGGGGAAACCCUGAUGCAGCGACGCCGCGUGAGUGAUGAAGGCCUUCGGGUCGUAAAGCUCUGUCGUAUGGGACUAACACAAUGAAGGUACCAUGCAAGAAAGGAUCGGCUAACUUCGUGCCAGCAGCCGCGGUAAGACGAGGGAUCCUAGCGUUGUUCGGAAUCAUUGGGCGUAAAGCGGGUGUAGGCGGAUUUAUAAGUCAGGUGUGAAAUCCCAGGGCUCAACCCUGGAAGUGCACUUGAUACUGUAAAUCUUGAGUGUGGUAGAGGUUACUGGAAUUGUUGGUGUAGUGGUGAAAUACGUAGAUAUCAACAGGAAUACCGGAGGCGAAGGCGAGUAACUGGGCCAACACUGACGCUGAGACCCGAAAGCGUGGGGAUCAAACAGGAUUAGAAACCCUAGUAGUCC
rnacentral:rRNA from 1 species